rnacentral:rRNA from 1 species
AGUGAACGCUGGCGGUAGGCCUAACACAUGCAAGUCGAACGGCAGCACAGGAGAGCUUGCUCUCUGGGUGGCGAGUGGCGGACGGGUGAGGAAUACAUCGGAAUCUACCUUUUCGUGGGGGAUAACGUAGGGAAACUUACGCUAAUACCGCAUACGACCUACGGGUGAAAGUGGGGGACCGCAAGGCCUCACGCGAUUAGAUGAGCCGAUGUCCGAUUAGCUAGUUGGCGGGGUAAUGGCCCACCAAGGCGACGAUCGGUAGCUGGUCUGAGAGGAUGAUCAGCCACACUGGAACUGAGACACGGUCCAGACUCCUACGGGAGGCAGCAGUGGGGAAUAUUGGACAAUGGGCGCAAGCCUGAUCCAGCCAUACCGCGUGGGUGAAGAAGGCCUUCGGGUUGUAAAGCCCUUUUGUUGGGAAAAAAAUCCUGUCGAUUAAUACUCGGUGGGGAUGACGGUACCCAAAGAAUAAGCACCGGCUAACUUCGUG